GUGGGGAAUCUUCCGCAAUGGACGAAAGUCUGACGGAGCAACGCCGCGUGAACGAUGACGGCCUUCGGGUUGUAAAGUUCUGUUAUACGGGACGAAUGGUACGACGGCCAAUACCCGUCGUAAGUGACGGUACCGUAAGAGAAAGCCACGGCUAACUACGUGCCAGCAGCCGCGGUAAUACGUAGGUGGCAAGCGUUGUCCGGAAUUAUUGGGCGUAAAGGGCGCGCAGGCGGCGUCGUAAGUCGGUCUUAAAAGUGCGGGGCUUAACCCCGUGAGGGGACCGAAACUGCGAUGCUAGAGUAUCGGAGAGGAAAGCGGAAUUCCUAGUGUAGCGGUGAAAUGCGUAGAUAUUAGGAGGAACACCAGUGGCGAAAGCGGCUUUCUGGACGACAACUGACGCUGAGGCGCGAAAGCCAGGGGAGCAAACGGGAUUAGAAACCCGGGUAGUCC
rnacentral:rRNA from 1 species